rnacentral:rRNA from 1 species
AUUGAACGCUGGCGGCAGGCUUAACACAUGCAAGUCGAGCGGGGUGAUGGUGCUUGCACUAUCACUUAGCGGCGGACGGGUGAGUAAUGCUUAGGAAUCUGCCUAUUAGUGGGGGACAACAUCUCGAAAGGGAUGCUAAUACCGCAUACGUCCUACGGGAGAAAGCAGGGGAUCACUUGUGACCUUGCGCUAAUAGAUGAGCCUAAGUCGGAUUAGCUAGUUGGUGGGGUAAAGGCCUACCAAGGCGACGAUCUGUAGCGGGUCUGAGAGGAUGAGCCGCCACACUGGGACUGGGACACGGCCCAGACUCCGACGGGGGGCAGCAGUGGGGAAUAUUGGACAAUGGGGGGAACCCUGAUCCAGCCAUGCCGCGUGUGUGAAGAAGGCCUUAUGGUUGUAAAGCACUUUAAGCGAGGAGGAGGCUCUUUUGGUUAAUACCCAAGAUGAGUGGACGUUACUCGCAGAAUAAGCACCGGCUAACUCUGUGCCAGCCGCCGCAGUAA